GAAUCUGGCUUCAGGUCUGGGACAACCACUGGAAACGGUGGCUAAUACCGGAUGUGCCCUGCGGGGUGAAAGGUUAACUGCCUGAAGAUGAGCUCGCGUCUGAUUAGCUAGUAGGUGUGGUAAGAGCGCACCUAGGCGACGAUCAGUAGCUGGUCUGAGAGGACGAUCAGCCACACUGGGACUGAGACACGGCCCAGACUCCUACGGGAGGCAGCAGUGGGGAAUUUUCCGCAAUGGGCGAAAGCCUGACGGAGCAAUACCGCGUGAGGGAGGAAGGCUCUUGGGUCGUAAACCUCUUUUCUCAGGGAAGAACACAAUGACGGUACCUGAGGAAUAAGCAUCGGCUAACUCCGUGCCAGCAGCCGCGGUAAUACGGAGGAUGCAAGCGUUAUCCGGAAUGAUUGGGCGUAAAGCGUCCGCAGGUGGCUGUGUAAGUCUGCUGUUAAAGAGUCUAGCUCAACUAGAUACAAGCAGUGGAAACUACACGGCUAGAGUACGUUCGGGGCAGAGGGAAUUCCUGGUGUAGCGGUGAAAUGCGUAGAGAUCAGGAAGAACACCAGUGGCGAAGGCGCUCUGCUAGGCCGUAACUGACACUGAGGGACGAAAGCUAGGGGAGCG
rnacentral:rRNA from 1 species